rnacentral:rRNA from 1 species
UGGGGAAUAUUGCACAAUGGGCGCAAGCCUGAUGCAGCCAUGCCGCGUGUGUGAAGAAGGCCUUCGGGUUGUAAAGCACUUUCAGCGGGGAGGAAGGCGAUAAGGUUAAUAACCUUGUCGAUUGACGUUACCCGCAGAAGAAGCACCGGCUAACUCCGUGCCAGCAGCCGCGGUAAUACGGAGGGUGCAAGCGUUAAUCGGAAUUACUGGGCGUAAAGCGCACGCAGGCGGUCUGUCAAGUCGGAUGUGAAAUCCCCGGGCUUAACCUGGGAACUGCAUUCGAAACUGGCAGGCUAGAGUCUUGUAGAGGGGGGUAGAAUUCCAGGUGUAGCGGUGAAAUGCGUAGAGAUCUGGAGGAAUACCGGUGGCGGAGGCGGCCCCCUGGACAAAGACUGACGCUCAGGUGCGAAAGCGUGGGGAGCAAACAGG